rnacentral:sRNA from 1 species
GCCAGGCAUGGUGGGGCAUACCUGUAAUCCCAGCUACUUUGGAGGCUGAGGCAGGAGGCUCUCAAGUCCAAAUCCAACCCGGGCAACUUAGGGAGACCCUGUCUCAA